rnacentral:lncRNA from 1 species
AUGCCCUUCACGUGCCAACCUCAUCUCCCCGGCUCCUCCAGCAGAUGGGAAAAAAACCAUUAUUGCUUCCUCCCAGGGAGGGGAAUUGCUCAGAUCAGCAUCCUUCCUCAACCUCCUCUCCAUCCUCUUCACCCCCAUUACCCCCACUCCACCCACACACGCUCCUCUGGGGACCUGCAGAAGAGCCAGAGCAUCCACUGCUCAAAAAUACCACCUAGAAAUGAAGACCCGAAGCGUUUGUGCUUCCUGGAGUUACUUGUGGGUGGAUUUUAUCUCCUUUUCCAUCUAUUCUGGGUGCUCUUUGGCGAGGCAGGUCCUGACCAGCAAGCGGGCAUCCUGCCUUCCCUCGGCUGGGCUCACCCACCACGGCUGCAGAAUGCGAGAAAGACAUUUAUCUCCCCAAAACAAACCCCAGAAGAUACAGGCAGAACCGCCAGCGACGGGGACCCGCUGGAGCACCCGCGGCGGGAGGGGACAGUUCCUGAGCAGCACUUCGGUUGGGUUUUAAGCUACUUGUUUGUUUGUUUGUCGCUGGGCAACCGAGAGAAUGGAAAAAAAAUAAAUAUCAAUGUCAUAUUGUCACCUAUGAGUCACCGCUCAGGGCGGGCUGAGGUGCCCCCUUCCUCCCGCCAUCGAGCACGGGGUGGCCGGAGAAGAGCCCAAGACACCCCAAAAACGGCUCACCCCACUUCUCGCUGCCUGCCCAACCCUGCCCCGAUGCCUUCCCCAUCCCUGCAACUGGGGACGCCAGUGGCUCGGGGACAUUGGUGGCCCAGGGACAACUUUCCAGGCCCUGGAAGGCGGCACAGGAAAUUUGCAUUUAUAUCUGCAUUUCCUAAUUGCGCCUGCGGGUUUCCUGGGGCAGCGCCUGGGUUUGGUUUCCAUGGCAGGUUUUGUGCGGACCCCGAGAACCGAGGGAGGCACAAAGGGGCCACAAUGGACCUGCCACUCACCCGCAUCAAAGGCGGCCGGCGGGGCGGGACGGGGGCACCGGGGACGGGGGCACCGCAGCCUUUACCCCCCCCCAGCACCGGGGCAAGACACGGGGAGCCCCCCAGGCAGGGAAGAGGCCGGUGGGCAGCCGACACUCGCGGGGCACUGCUGGUUUCGGCGCUGCCGGAGCAGCAGUGGGGACGAGAGUCUCAGCCACCAUCGGCCGGAGGUGGCAACCACGGAAGUGGUGCAAGAGCCAGACCCAGAUGUUCCCCCUCUUCUCACUUCCCGUUACCUUCAGGCAGGUUUUCACCGGGCUGGGGUGGGUUUCUUUCCCCUUCCAACUUCCCUGGUCCAUUUAGGGACUUUCUUCCCGGUGAGAGUCCCUGCCCCAGCUCGCCUCACACACCGCUGUGCCCAUCCCGCUCCUGCGCUCACCCCAGGGAACCAGGAGACCAGCCUAAACUGGGAAAACCUGCUCCCUGA